rnacentral:rRNA from 1 species
AACGAACGCUGGCGGCGUGCCUAACACAUGCAAGUCGAACGAGAAAGGGGCUUCGGCUCCGAGUAAAGUGGCGCACGGGUGAGUAACACGUGGGUAACCUGCCUCUAAGAUUGGGAUAACUCGUCGAAAGAUGAGCUAAUACCGAAUAAGACCACAGUUCCCGCGGGAACAGGGGUCAAAGGUAGCCUCUGCUUGCAAGCUAUCACUUAGAGAUGGGCCUGCGCACCAUUAGCUAGUUGGUAGGGUAACGGCCUACCAAGGCAAAGAUGGUUAGCUGGUCUGAGAGGAUGAUCAGCCACACUGGAACUGAGACACGGUCCAGACUCCUACGGGAGGCAGCAGUGGGGAAUAUUGCGCAAUGGGCGAAAGCUUGACGCAGCAACGCCGCGGGAGUGAUGAAGGCCUUCGGGUCGUAAAGCUCUGUCGGGAGGAACGAAUGCUCCUGAGGUUAACAGCCUCGGGAGGUGACGGUACCUUCAAAGGAGGCACCGGCUAACUCUGUG